rnacentral:rRNA from 1 species
GACGAACGCUGGCGGCAUGCCUAACACAUGCAAGUCGAACGGAGAUUAUUUCGGUUUGCUUAUUUGCGAACGGGUGAGUAACGCGUGGUCAACCUUCGCUCUAGAUCGUGACAACAUCCCGAAAGUUGGGCUAAUACCGACUGUUACAGCAAUCUCUCAUGAGGAUGCUGUUUAAGUUGUCCUCGAUUUAUAAGCUAUCGCUAAAGGAUGGGUCUGCGUCGGAUUAGCUAGUUGGUGAGGCAACGGCCUACCAAGGCGAUGAUCAGUAGCCGGUCUGAGAGGAUGAACGGCCCAAUCGGGAAUUGGACCAGGGCCAGAACCCCAAGGGAAGCAGCAGUGGGGAAUCUUCCGCAAUGGGGGAAAGCCCGACGGAGCAAUGGCGCGUGAGUGAUGAAGGAUCUUGUUAUGUAAAGACUUUGUGUUUAGGGAGAAAGAGCAGAUUGUGAAAAAUGAUAUGUCAUGACGGUAGUAAACCAAUAAGCCACGGCUAACUACGUG